AGACAUCAGCCCUGGAUUCCCAGUGAACCAUUCAGGCCUCAGGCUGACACAGACCUCUCACCAUGGAGCUGGGGCUGCGUUGGGUUCUCCUUGUUGUUCUGAUGAAAGGUGUGCAGUGUGAGGUGCAGCUGGUGGAGUCUGGGGGAGGCUUGGUGCAGCCUGGGGGGUCCCUGAGACUCUCCUGUGCAGCCUCUGGAUUCGAAUUCAGUAAUUACUGGAUGAGCUGGAUCCGCCAGGCUCCAGGGAAGAGGCCUGAGUGGCUCUCAGACAUUCGUGGUGAUAGUAAUAGCAUAUACUACGCAGACUCCGUGAAGGGCCGCUUCACCAUCUCCAGAGACAACAGCAAGAACACACUUUACCUGCAGAUGAACAGCCUGAGAGUGGAGGACACGGCCCUCUAUUACUGUGCUAGAGACACAGUGCAGGAAAUCCAGUGUGGGCCAGACACAAACCUCCCUGCAGGACGCUCAGCACCAGCAGGGGGCGCUCGGCACAGCUUGGAGCCGGGUCAGCUCAGGAGCAGCUGCACACAGAGCCCAGGGCUGCUCUCCUGCUGUCUGCCCUGCCUCUGUGUCCACAGUGUGACAGCAUCUCUCCUGAGUUCAUGACCCCCA